AGUGAACGCUGGCGGUAUGCCUAACACAUGCAAGUCGAACGGCGGCACAGUAACAUCUUGCUCUUACGGGUUUCGGGUGGCGGACGUGUGAGGAAUACAUCGUACUCUACUUUUUCGGGUGGGAUAACGUAGCGAAACUUACUCUAAUACCGCAUACGACCUACGGGUGAAAUCACUGGAUCUUCGGACCUUGCGCGAUUCAAUGAGCCGAUGUCGGAUUUGCUAGUUGGCGGGGUAAAGGCCCACCAAGGCGACGAUCCGUAGCUGGUCUGAGAGGAUGAUCAGCCACACUGGACCGGAGCAACGGCCCAGACUCCUACGGGAGGAACAAGUGGGGAAUAUUGGACAAGGGGCGAAAGCCUGAUCCAGCCAGACCGCGUGGGUGAAGAAGGCCUUCGAGUUGUAAAGCCCUUUUGUUGGGAAAGAAAAGCAGCAGGUUAAUAACCCCCUGUUCUGACGGUACCCAAAGAAUAAGCACCGGCUAACUUCGUG
rnacentral:rRNA from 1 species